GGUUCGUUGGUCUAGCGGUAUGAUUCUCGCUUAGGGUGUACCCUGAGUCAAAUGCGAGAGGUCCCGGGUUCAAUCCCCGGACGAACCC
rnacentral:tRNA from 1 species